AUCAGCGUUGAAGAAAUAUAAACCUUCUGUGCUUAUGGAAGAAGUUAAGAAUGGUAUAGAAGUGAUUGAACGAGUCUUCGCAACCCUCCAGGAUCCAAAUAAGGUUGAUUUUUUUUAAAAGGGGAAAUUUUUUUUUGGGCCCCUGGACUAAGGGGGCCCUAGGCACAGGCCUAGCCCGCCUAUGCCCAGAGCCAGCCUUGUGAACAAGUCGUUGAGGAGAAGAAGGAGGAGGUAAAAAUCUCGGUACUAUCUCUCUGUUUUACAUUAUACAUUUUGAUUUUAGUUAUCGACUCUUUCAUUAUCUACAUGUUUCAUCUAUUAUAUUACUUAGAUUUUAAUUAUGCACAAGUCAACAAAACCAUUGGAAGGAGCUGAAUUGGAAUUGCAUGAUCUGAUUAACUAAACUGUCCUUUCAAUGAUUAAUGAGGUAACCUAUUUGUAUUUAGACAAUAAUUGUUGGUUAUAAUUGAAAAGUAAAAAAAAACUGUUAAAUCAAGUUUACUUAUUAUCAAUUCAGAGUUUUUUUGGUGGAAUCAGCGUUGAAGAUAUUUAAACCUUCUGUGCUUAUGGAAAAAGUUAAGAAUGGUAUAGAAGUGAUUGAAUGAGUCUUCGCAACCCUCCAAGAUCCAAAUAAGGUUAAUUUUUUUCAAAAAGAUGAAAUUUUUUUUGGGCCCCUGGACUAAGGGGCCCUAGGCAUAGGCCUAGCCCGCGUAUGCCCAAGGCCAGCCAUUAGAAUAAGUCGUUGAGGAGAAGAAGGAGGAGGUAGAAAUCUCGGUACUAUCUCUCUGUUUUUGAUUAUACAUUUUGAUUUUAGUUAUCAACUCUUUCAUUUUCUCUAUUUUUCAUCUAUUAUAUUCCUUGGAUUUUAAUUAUACACAAGUCAACAAAACCAUCGGAAGGAGCUGAAUCGGAAUUGCAUGAUCUGAAGCGAGAAGAACAAGCAGGCCCUGCCUUGAAAUUUAGUGGGCUAUAGAGAAAAAAAUAUAUUUUUGGUCCUUUAUUUAAAAAAAAAACAGUAUUUUUUUUCAAAAUCAUCUAAAAAAUUAUAUAAUUUUGAAAGGGGAAAUUUUUUUUUUGGGCCCCUGGACUAAGUGGACACUAGGCACAGGCCUAGCCUAACUAUGCCCAGGGCCGGCCCUGAGAACAUGUUAUUGAGUAGAAGAAGGAGGAGGUAGAAAUCUCGGUACUAUCUCUCUGUUUUACAUUAUACAUUUUGAUUUUAGUUAUCGACUCUUUCAUUUUCUCCAUGUUUCAUCUAUUAUAUUUCUUGGAUUUUAAUUAUACACAAGUUAACAAAACUAUUGGAAGGAGCUCAAUCAGAAUUGCAUAAUCUGAUUAACUCAACUGUCCUUUCAAUGAUUAAUGAGGUAAGCUAUUAGUAUUUAGACAAUAAUUGUUUCUUAUAAUUGAAAAGUAAAAAAAACUGUUAAAUCAAGUUUACUUAUUAUCAAUUCAGGGUUUUUUGGUGGAAUCAGCGUUGAAGAAAUAUAAACCUUCUGUGCUUAUGGAAGAAGUUAAGAAUGGUAUAGAAGUGAUUGAACGAGUCUUCGCAACCCUCCAGGAUCCAAAUAAGGUUGAUUUUUUUUAAAAGGGGAAAUUUUUUUUUUGGGCCCCUGGACUAAGGGGGCCCUAGGCACAGGCCUAGCCCGCCUAUGCCCAGAGCCAGCCUUGUGAACAAGUUGUUGAGGAGAAGAAGGAGGAGGUAAAAAUCUCGGUACUAUCUCUCUGUUUUACAUUAUACAUUUUGAUUUUAGUUAUCGACUCUUUCAUUAUCUACAUGUUUCAUCUAUUAUAUUACUUAGAUUUUAAUUAUGCACAAGUCAACAAAACCAUUGGAAGGAGCUGAAUUGGAAUUGCAUGAUCUGAUUAACUAAACUGUCCUUUCAAUGAUUAAUGAGGUAACCUAUUUGUAUUUAGACAAUAAUUGUUGGUUAUAAUUGAAAAGUAAAAAAAAACUGUUAAAUCAAGUUUACUUAUUAUCAAUUCAGGGUUUUUUGGUGGAAUCAGCGUUGAAGAAAUUUAAACCUUCUGUGCUUAUGGAAAAAGUUAAGAAUGGUAUAGAAGUGAUUGAAUGAGUCUUCGCAACCCUCCAAGAUCCAAAUAAGGUUAAUUUUUUUCAAAAAGAUGAAAUUUUUUUUGGGCCCCUGGACUAAGGGGCCCUAGGCAUAGGCCUAGCCCGCGUAUGCCCAAGGCCAGCCAUUAGAAUAAGUCGUUGAGGAGAAGAAGGAGGAGGUAGAAAUCUCGGUACUAUCUCUCUGUUUUUCAUUAUACAUUUUGAUUUUAGUUAUCAACUCUUUCAUUUUCUCUAUUUUUCAUCUAUUAUAUUCCUUGGAUUUUAAUUAUACACAAGUCAACAAAACCAUCGGAAGGAGCUGAAUCGGAAUUGCAUGAUCUGAAGCGAGAAGAACAAGCAGGCCCUGCCUUGAAAUUUAGUGGGCUAUAGAGAAAAAAAUAUAUUUUUGGUCCUUUAUCUAAAAAAAAAACAGUAUUUUUUUUCAAAAUCAUCUAAAAAAUUAUAUAAUUUUGAAAGGGGAAAUUUUUUUUUUGGGCCCCUGGACUAAGUGGACACUAGGCACAGGCCUAGCCUGCCUAUGCCCAGGGCCGGCCCUGAGAACAAGUUAUUGAGGAGAAGAAGGAGGAGGUAGAAAUCUCGGUACUAUCUCUCUGUUUUACAUUAUACAUUUUGAUUUUAGUUAUCGACUCUUUCAUUUUCUCCAUGUUUCAUCUAUUAUAUUCCUUGGAUUUUAAUUAUACACAAGUUAACAAAACUAUUGGAAGGAGCUCAAUCAGAAUUGCAUGAUCUGAUUAACUCAACUGUCAUUUCAAUGAUUAAUGAGGUAAGCUAUUAGUAUUUAGACAAUAAUUGUUUCUUAUAAUUGAAAAGUAAAAAAAACUGUUAAAUCAAGUUUACUUAUUAUCAAUUCAGGGUUUUUUGGUGGAAUCAGCGUUGAAGAAAUAUAAACCUUCUGUGCUUAUGGAAGAAGUUAAGAAUGGUAUAGAAGUGAUUGAACGAGUCUUCGCAACCCUCCAGGAUCCAAAUAAGGUUGAUUUUUUUUAAAAGGGGAAAUUUUUUUUUUGGGCCCCUGGACUAAGGGGGCCCUAGGCACAGGCCUAGCCCGCCUAUGCCCAGAGCCAGCCUUGUGAACAAGUCGUUGAGGAGAAGAAGGAGGAGGUAAAAAUCUCGGUACUAUCUCUCUGUUUUACAUUAUACAUUUUGAUUUUAGUUAUCGACUCUUUCAUGAUCUACAUGUUUCAUCUAUUAUAUUACUUAGAUUUUAAUUAUGCACAAGUCAACAAAACCAUUGGAAGGAGCUGAAUUGGAAUUGCAUGAUCUGAUUAACUAAAUUGUCCUUUCAAUGAUUAAUGAAGUAACCUAUUUGUAUUUAGACAAUAAUUGUUGGUUAUAAUUGAAAAGUAAAAAAAAAACUGUUAAAUCAAGUUUACUUAUUAUCAAUUCAGGGUUUUUUGGUGGAAUCAGCGUUGAAGAAAUUUAAACCUUCUGUGCUUAUGGAAAAAGUUAAGAAUGGUAUAGAAGUGAUUGAAUGAGUCUUCGCAACCCUCCAAGAUCCAAAUAAGGUUAAUUUUUUUCAAAAAGAUGAAAUUUUUUUUGGGCCCCUGGACUAAGGGGCCUUAGGCAUAGGCCUAGCCCGCGUAUGCCCAAGGCCAGCCAUUAGAAUAAGUCGUUGAGGAGAAGAAGGAGGAGGUAGAAAUCUCGGUACUAUCUCUCUGUUUUUCGUUAUACAUUUUGAUUUUAGUUAUCAACUCUUUCAUUUUCUCUAUUUUUCAUCUAUUAUAUUCCUUGGAUUUUAAUUAUACACAAGUCAACAAAACCAUCGGAAGGAGCUGAAUCGGAAUUGCAUGAUCUGAAGCGAGAAGAACAAGCAGGCCCUGCCUUGAAAUUUAGUGGGCUAUAGAGAAAAAAAUAUAUUUUUGGUCCUUUAUUUAAAAAAAAAAAAAAACAGUAUUUUUUUUCAAAAUCAUCUAAAAAAUUAUAUAAUUUUGAAAGGGGAAAUUUUUUUUUUGGGCCCCUGGACUAAGUGGACACUAGGCACAGGCCUAGCCUGCCUAUGCCCAGGGUCGGCCCUGAGAACAAGUUAUUGAGGAGAAGAAUGAGGAGGUAGAAAUCUCGGUACUAUCUCUCUGUUUUACAUUAUACAUUUUGAUUUUAGUUAUCGACUCUUUCAUUUUCUCCAUGUUUCAUCUAUUAUAUUCCUUGGAUUUUAAUUAUACACAAGUUAGCAAAAUCAUUGGAAGGAGUUGAAUCGGAAUUGCAUGAUCUGAUUAACUCAACUGUCCUUUCAGUGAUUAAUGAGGUAAGCUAUUAGUAUUUAGACAAUAAUUGUUGGUUAUAAUUGAAAAGUAAAAAAACUAUUACAUCAAGUUUACUAUUUAGGGUUUUUUUGUGGAAUCAGCGUUGAAGAAAUUUAAACCUUCUGUGCUUAUGGAAGAAGUUAAGAAUGGUAUAGAAGUGAUUGAACGAGUCUUCGCAACCCUCCAGGAUCCAAAUAAGGUUGAUUUUUUUUAAAAGGGAAAAUGUUUUUUGGGCGCCUGGACUAAGGGGGCUCUAGGCACAGGCCUAGCCCGCCUAUGCCCAGGGCCAGCCUUGAGAACAAGUCGUUGAGGAGAAGAAGGAGGACGUAGAAAUCUCGGUACUAUCUCUCUCUUUUACAUUUUACAUUUUGAUUUUACUUAUCGACUCUUUCAUUUUCUCCAUGUUUCAUCUAUUUUAUUCCUUGGAUUUUAAUUAUACACAAGUCAACAAAACCAUUGGAAGGAGCUCAAUGGGAAUUGCAUGAUCUAAUUAACUCAACUAUCCUUUCAGUGAUUAAUGAGUUAAGUUAUUAGUAUUUAGACAAUAAUUGUUGGUUAUAAUUGAAAAGUAAAAAAACUGUUAAAUCAAGUUUACUAUUCAGGGUGUUUUGGUGGAAUCAAUAAUGAAGAAAUUUAAACCUUCUGUGCUUAUGAAAGAAGAUUAGAAUGUUAUAAAAGUGAUUGAACGAGUCUUCGCAACCCUCCCGGAUCCAAAUAUGGUUGAUUUUUUUUAAAAGGGGAAUUUUUUAUUUGGCCCCUGGACUAGGGGGCCCUAGGCACAGGCCUAGCCGCCUAUGCCUAGGGCCAGCCCUGAGAACAACUCGUUGAGGAGAAGAAGGAGGAGGUUGAAAUCUCGGUACUAUCUCUCUCUUUUACAUUUUACAUUUUGAUUUUAGUUAUCGACUCUUUCAUUUUCUCCAUGUUUCAUCUAUUUUAUUCCUUGGAUUUUAAUUAUACACAAGUCAACAAAACCAUUGGAAGGAGCUGAAUCAGAAUUGCAUGAUUUGAUUAGCUCAACAGUCCUUUCAAUGAUUAAUGAGAAUUUUUUGGUGGAAUCAGCGUUGAAGAAAUUUCCACAUUAUGUGCUUAUGGAAGAAGUUAAGAAUGGUAUAGAAGUGAUUGUACGAGUCUUUGCUACCCUCCAGGAUCGAAAUAAGGUUGAUUUUUUUAAAAAAAGGGAAAAACUUUUUUGGGCCCCUGGACUAGGGCGGCCCUAGGCACAGGCCUAGCCCGCCUAUGCCCAUGGCCAUCCCUAAGAACAAGUCAGUUAGGAGAAGAAGGAGGAGGUAGAAAUCUCGGUACUAUCUCUCUGUUUUACAUUAUACAUUUUGAUUUUAGUUAUCUACUCUUUCAUUUUCUCCAUGUUUCAUCUAUUAUAUUCCUUGGAUUUUAAUUAUACACAAGUCAACAAAACCAUUAGAAGGAGCUAAAUCAGAAUUGCACGAUCUAAUUAACUCAACUGUCCUUUCAUCUAUUUUUGGGCCUUUAUUUAGAAAAAAAUAGUAUUUUUCAAAAUCAGCAAAAAAAUUGUAUAAUUUUGAAAGGGGAAUUUUUUUUUGGGGCCCCUGGACUAGGUGGGCCCUAGGCAAAGCUAGCCCGCCUAUGCUAAGGGCCGGCCCUAAGAACAAGUUGUUGACGAGAAGAAGGAGGAGGUAGAAAUCUCGGUACUAUCUCUCUGUUUUACAUUAUACAUUUUGAUUUUAGUUAUCGACUCUUUCAUUUUCUCCAUGUUUCAUCUAUUAUAUUCCUUCAAUUUUAAUUAUACACAAGUCAACAAAACUAUUUGAAGAAGCUUAAUCGGAAUUGCAUGAUCUGAAGCGAGAAGAACAAGUCGUUGAGGAGAAGAAGGAGGAGGUAGAAAUCUCGGUACUAUCUCUCUGUUUUACAUUAUACAUUUUGAUUUUAGUUAUUGACUCUUUCAUUUUCUCCAUGUUUCAUCUAUUACUUUCUUUAAAUUUUUAUUAUACACAAGCCAACAAAACCAUUGGAAGGAGCUGAAUCGGAAUUGCAUGAUCUGAAGCGAGAAGAACAAGGAGGCCCGGCCUUGAUAUUUAGUGGGCUGUAGAGAAAAAAAAUUAUUUUGGGGCCUUUAUUUAGGAAAAAAAAUGGUAUUUUUAAAAAAUCAACAAAAAAAAUUGUAUAAUUUUAAAAGGAGAAUUUUUUUUGGGCCCUGGACUAGGUGGCCCCUUGGCAAAGGCCUAGCCCGCCUAUGCAAAAGAAAUUGUUAUAAAGAUAUUUUUUUUGUUUAACUUUUCAUAUCAUAAUAGAUCUUAAAUCUACGUCGAGGAAAACUUAAGAUUGCUGCAAAAAUGCAUGUUGUAACAUUUUAUUACUAAAUUGAUUAUCUGACUAUAGUUUGUUGAUUAUGUGUUUGUCCUUUCUACUCUUUUAACCAUAAUUAAUCCUCUCAGACAGUUUCAGGGAACGAAUGAAAAAUUAUACAGUUGAGUAUCAA